GAGAGAGAGAGGAAGAGGGACAGAGUGAAUGAGAAGACAGAGAGAGGUGGAGGGAGAGAGAGAGGAAGAGGGACAGAGUGAAUGAGAAGACAGAGAGAGGUGGAGGGAGAGAGAGAGGAAGAGGGACAGAGUGAAUGAGGAGACAGAGAGAGAGGGAGGGAGAGAGAGAGGAAGAGGGACGGAGUGAAUGAGAAGGAGACAGAGGGAGGGAGAGAGAGAGGAAGAGGGACGGAGUGAAUGAGGAGACAGAGAGAGGGAGCGGGAGGAGAGAGAGAAAGAGGGACAGAGUGAAUGAGAAGGAGUCAGAGAGAGGUAGAGGGAGGGAGAGAGAGGAAGAUGGACAGAGUGAAUGAGAGGGAGACAGAGAGAGGGAGUGGGAGGAGAGAGAGGAAGAUAGACAGAGUGAAUGAGAGGGAGACAGAGAGAGGGAGUGGGAGGGAGAGAGAGAGAGAAAGAUGGACAAAGUGAAUGUGAAGGAGACAGAGAGGUAACUGGCGGGAGGGAGGGAGAGAGUGAGUGAGGUAGAGAGAGAGCGAGAAAGACAGUGAGGGAGAGGGAGGGAGAGAGAGGAAGAUGGACAGAGUGAAUGAGGAGACAGAGAGAGGUAGAGGGAGGGAGAGAGAGGAAGAUGGACAGAGUGAAUGAGAAGGAGACAGAGAGAGGUAGAGGGAGGGAGGGAGAGAGAGAGAGAAAGAUGGACAGAGUGAAUGAGAAGGAGACAGAGAGAGGGAGCGGGAGGGAGGGAGAGAGAGAGAGAAAGAUGGACAAAGUGAAUGUGAAGGAGACAGAGAGGGGUAGAGGGAGGGAGAGAGAGAGAGAAAGAUGGACAGAGUGAAUGAGGAGACAGAGAGAGGGAGGGAGAGAGAGAGAGAAAGAUGGACAAAGUGAAUGUGAAGGAGACAGAGAGGUAACUGGCGGGAGGGAGGGAGAGAGUGAGUGAGGUAGAGAGAGAGCGAGAAAGACAGUGAGGGAGAGGGAGGGAGAUAGAGCCGUGUCAUGUCGUGCAGUACUGGCACAUUGAUGUCACCCUCAUGCUAAUAUCGCAUGUCUGACUCACUGUAGAACAGAGCUGCUAUUCCAUAGAAAGCUGCAGGGCCUGUGUGGGGAAGAAGAACAUUGAGAAUGUAACUGAGGAGACACCCACC
ensembl:lncRNA